rnacentral:rRNA from 1 species
UGGGGAAUAUUGGACAAUGGGGGGAACCCUGAUCCAGCAACGCCGCGUGUGUGAAGAAGGCCUUCGGGUUGUAAAGCACUUUUAGUGGAGAAGAAAGGCUCAAGGCUAAUACCCUUGAGAGUUGACGUUAUCCACAGAAAAAGCACUGGCUAACUCUGUGCCAGCAGCCGCGGUAAUACAGAGAGUGCAAGCGUUAAUCGGAAUUACUGGGCGUAAAGCGCGCGUAGGUGGAUAUUUAAGUCGGAUGUGAAAUCCCUGGGCUUAACCUAGGAAUUGCAUCUGAUACUGGGUAUCUCGAGUGUGGUAGAGGGAAGUGGAAUUUCCGGUGUAGCGGUGAAAUGCGUAGAUAUCGGAAAGAACACCAGUGGCGAAGGCGGCUUCCUGGACCAACACUGACACUGAGGCGCGAAAGCGUGGGGAGCAAACAGG